rnacentral:lncRNA from 1 species
AAAAUAAUUCCAAACCAAUCAGGAGUAUAAGUUUAAUUAUUGUUAGGCUGGGUUUCAUAAUAGUUACAGAAAUGAAAAUGUGUGGUCUAGUGUCUCCUCAGAGUGCAGGAUAAUGGUUGCUAGGCAGCCUCCUGUUUACAGAGAAAAGAAUUUCUUUAUCUGCAGAUGUCAACAGUGCCUCAUCCUCUUUAUUUCCACCAGAAUUUAUAUGGUGGGCCAGGGCUUGGUGAGCGGUGGUAAUUUCCUGUGCAGUAUAUACUGCCCUACUUGUGAGGAGCAUAUUGCUGUUCAAGGGUCAACAUGCAAACACAUGGGGGCAUUACUGAAACCAAUGGAUGUUACCUGGAGAAGCCAGCCUGAAAAUAUCUGGGUUUCUUCUCUGCCACAUACAAGACCACACUCCUUCCAAAUUAAGAAACAAAUGAAGAGAAGACUACAGAGAAUGGAAUAACAUUUAAUGGCAUUUCUUUAAUGCUAACUUUUGAGACGUAGAUGUAAUAAAUUAUGAAGAAGUAUAGUUUUUAAAUAACCU